UAUGUACAAACUUCGAUCAACAAUAGUAACUAGAUUUCGGGUCGGUGCAUAAAAUCCGUCUCGUCAAAUAACAGCGCACUUGAAAUGUGAGCUCUUAUUUUGUUUAGUUCACUUCAAACACAGCCAAUGUCAACCCGUCUCACAAUACCGCAGUGUGUAUUCAAAAGUUGCAAAAAUAAGGCCCGAAAAAGCAAUUUAACGGCCGGAGUAUCUUACUUUCGCUUUCCUAGCAAUCACGUGUGCAGAAUGGAUCUCGAUUGUCGCCAGAGAAACAAGAGAUGACUUUUAUAAGCCAGCUAAGAACUCCGCUUAUUGACACUGGACAUCUUUGCCUUCCGUGCUCACGGCUACUGAAAUGUGGCCGAAACAUUGUAAUAAAAAUACCACGCUUGAAACCGUUUAAA